rnacentral:lncRNA from 1 species
CUCACCCCACUUUGGUGGCACCUCUGGUGUGGGGACCCUCGUCGCCGACUCCGGACUGGGGACCCUCGCCGCGGGCCCGGACUUGGGACCCUCGUCGCCGACCCCGGACUGGGGACCCUCGUCGCCGGCCCCGGACUGCGGACCCUCGCUGCUGGCCGGACUGGGGAUCCGGACUGGGGAUCCUGGCUACGGGCCACGGACUGGGGACCCUCGCUGCGGGCCCCGGACUGGGUACCAUCACUGGUGGCUCCGGACAGGAGACCGUUGCUGGAGGCUCCAGACUGGAGGCCGUCGCUGGAGGCUCUGGACUGGAAGCCAUCGCUGGAGGCUCCGGACUGGAGGCCGUUGUUGGAGGCUUCGUGCCAUGACUCCUCGCUGGAGGCUUUGUGCCAUGGAUCAUCACUGGAGGCUUUGUGCCAUGGAUCAUCACUGGAAGCUUCUUGCCAUGGAUCCUCACUGGAGGCUUCGUGCCAUGGAUCCUCACUGGAGGCUUCUUGCCAUGGAUCAUCACUGGAGGCUUUGUGCCAUGGAUCAUCACUGGAAGCUUUGAGUCAUGGAUCAUCACUGGAGGCUUCUUGCCAUGGAUCAUCACUGGAGGCUUCGUGCCAUGGAUCAUCACUGGAGGCUUCUUGCCAUGGAUCCUCACUGGAGGCUUCGUACCAUGGAUCAUCACUGGAGGCUUCUUGCCAUGGAUCAUCACUGGAGGCUUCGUGCCAUGGAUCAUCACUGGAGGCUUCGUGCCAUGGAUCAUCACUGGAGGCUUCUUGGCAUGGAUCAUCACUGGAGUGGGGCAGCUCACCAGGCUGGGGAGACAUACUGGAGGCUUGGUUCUUGGCGGAGGCACCGGAUACAGUGGGCCGUGGAGACGCACAGGAGGUCCCGAGCGUAGAGCCUGCACAACCCGUCCUGGCUGGAUGGUUAUCUACGCCCUGCAAAUGCGGGGAUCUGGCACAGGACGCACUGGGCUGUGAAGACGCACUGGAGACACAGUGUGCAGAGCCGGCGCAGGAUAUCCUGGGCCGAAGAAACGCACUGGAGACCAGGCCCGUAGAGCGGGCACCAUCCUUCCUAGCUGGAUGCUCACCCUAG